AUACGUAGGGGGCAAGCGUUGUCCGGAAUUACAGGGCGUAAAGCGUGCGUAGGUGGUUUGUUAAGUCAGAUGUGAAAGCCCCGGGCUCAACCUGGGAACUGCAUUUGAAACUGGCAUACUAGAGUAUAGGAGAGGAAAGUGGAAUUUCAGGUGUAGCGGUGAAAUGCGUAGGUAUCUGAAGGAACAUCAAUGGCGAAGGCAGCUUUCUGGACUAAUACUGACACUGAGGUACGAAAGCGUGGGUAGCAAACAGGAUUAGAUACCCUUGUAGUCC
rnacentral:rRNA from 1 species